rnacentral:rRNA from 1 species
ACGCUCGACACCUACGGGAUGCAGCAGUGGGGAAUAUUGCACAAUGGGGGAAACCCUGAUGCAGCGACGCCGCGUGAGCGAAGAAGUAUUUCGGUAUGUAAAGCUCUAUCAGCAGGGAAGAAAGUGACGGUACCUGACUAAGAAGCACCGGCUAAAUACGUGCCAGCAGCCGCGGUAAUCUGAGCGGGCUGGCAAGGC